rnacentral:siRNA from 1 species
UUCCAUUGAAGAUGUCCUGUG